AAUAAGGAGAGAAAGACCCCCACUAAACCGAGCAGCCCGGGAUGAUUCGCUUCGGGAAGAUGUGGACAGAAUAUUUGAGAUACUAGAAAGGAUCAUGGCUGCCCAGCAAUGUCGAGAGGAGAGAAGGGAGUUACCCGAACCUCCCCCACUACCACAGGUUGAGCCACCGCUACAGCAAGUGGAUCCCGAGCCACCCCGACACAAGCCUGCUCCACCACAGUACCACCCGGCACCACCGCCGCAGUGUGAACCGGUCCCCCAGCCACCGUACCUGGCACCGCCACAGUACAAUCCG
rnacentral:lncRNA from 1 species